GUCUGUUUUUCUUUAGCCCAGGUAAGAUGCUUCUGACGUUGUUUGUUGUUGUUCAGGAGCGGCUUGACAAGGGGAAUACGACAUCUGAAGCCCAUGUCCAGGAUCCGUCUGUGUGUGGUGGCUCUUGAUGCACUGACUCCAGCCUCUGUCCACUCCUUGUGAAAGUCCCCAACACUUUUGAAUGGCCUUUUCCUGACAAUCCUCUCCAGGCUGCGGUCAUCCCUGCUGCUUGUGCACCUUUUUCUUCCACACUGAACCCUUUCACAUAACUUUCUAUUAAUGUACUUUGAUACAGCACUUUGGGAACAUCCAACUUCCUUCGCAAUUACCUUUUGAGGCUUUCCCUCCUUAUGGAGG